CUGCGCCAUGAUGGGAAGGUCGGCCUCGGAUGCCAUAUUGGGGAGGUCGGCGACUGGCCUAUGAGUCGGCCAUGAUGAGGAGGUCUGACUCGGCUUUGGAGCCGCCAUAUUGGGGAGGUCUCAUGAAUUUUAAUUUUUUGUUUUCUCCUGUUGCUCCGCCCCUCUCCUUUCCUCUUGUUUGUUAGGUCUAGCGUUGUUUAUCUCAGAGUCCUUCAUCCCCAGAGCAGUCCCUGGCACGUGGUAGGUAUUCAGUAAAGUCUGGUUGAUUUAAUGGAUGAAUUGCUUAAUAGUUCGAGACAAGCCACUGCCAGCAGUCAGGAGGCAAAAUCAUAUGCCACCUUCUGUGCUUGAGGACCAAUGUCUGAUCUGGUUUUGUUUGGGCAGUGGCAUGCCCUGGGACUUUGUCCCCAUUUCGGUCUGCUGUGGGCUGGCUUCUUUUCCUGGCCUUGCACUUGGCCGAAGUUAAGCGCCAAGUGCAUGCAGCACUGCCCUAGGACAGAUUCUGGCCUCCAUGUGCUCCAGCCUGGAAUAGGACACCCCACCCAUCAGAAAAACAGAAAAGCCAAAUGCCCUGGUUGGGAGUCGGCAGGGCUGCGCAUGUCCCCUAAGCAAUCGAGUCUGCUGCCGUGGAACCUGGAGGAGCUUGUUGGCAAAGAAGAAUUAUUUGCGCUGUUUUUGAGAAAUCGAAGAGUGGCAGGAGGAGGAAAACGAGGGAAGAAAGGAGCCACCACUUCUAAGCAGGCCGCAGGGGCACUCUGCAUACAGAUGUAGGUGGUGGCUGGGUCCCUGCUGUGACUCAUUACUGAGAAACACAUCAGAGGCCCCAGGGUGAGGGUCGCGGACAGCCAGGCUGCAGUGCUGAACAGGGCUUUUCUACAGGAACACACAGGGCCCUGCCCAGGUGCUAUGCUUGCAGAACCAAUUCCCAUUUCAAAACUAGACCGCCUGGGGUGACAUUGCCUAGAGGUCCCAUUUCCUUCCCUGGUGUGGGUUUCAGUGCUGUUCUCCAACCCCUGCCCCCCAUCUUAGGGAAAAUUCCCCAAAUGGUAUAGGGUGGGGUAGGAAGGAGCACCUCCUGCUGGUGGAGGGGCAGAUUGCAGCAUAGGUCGAGGGAAGAACAUGCACUGUUUUUUUUGUUUGUUUGUUUUGUUGUUUUUUUUUUUUUUUUCCUGGAGAGACCUGAACCUCUUGUUUUCCUGCUUCUUGGAGGAUGUUACAAAUAAUUGGGUGAACUGACAUGGGGGAAACUCUGUAGGGCGAGGACCAGUCCCGGAUGCAGCUCCUCCCAGGGUGUGCGGUGGGGAUUCCUGUUCUGCUCUGCCUUCCCCUGCAGCAUGCCCCUGCAGCAGCCCUCUCCAUUCAGUACCAGAUUUUGGCAGCAUUUGCUGGGAAAUUGCAGCUGCUCUGAGGUUGAUUAGGAUGUGUGACAGAAAUGUGUGGAAACACAAAGUAGGGCAGGGCCUGGGUCCCAUGGAAGGCUUGGGUGUUCCUCAGGAGAAGUCAGAAUACCCAAACAUGGGCCCUUUUGGAAAGUCGGAGUCUUCUUGCCCUGGUGACCAUCAUCUGUGGCUGAGCCCUUGCUCGUGGCGGGUGGUGAGGUGGCAAUACAGAGUGGACACUGCGUCUAGUUGCUGGUAACCUAUGGGUGGAGGGAGCUGCGAUUCCUGUAGGGCCCCAGUUUAUAAAUAAAUGAACAUUCAUUAAUGUAAAAUUAAAUUAGAAUGAAAUUUCCCAUCCAGUUUUGUUUAGAAGGCAGAAAUAAGUGGGUUGGCUGUGCAAUUUUGCUGCGGAUGCUGGAGUAUGUAGUCACAAGGUGAUAAUAAUAAUAGUAAUUUGUUCUUUGCUGGUGCCUCGGUCCCCAGAUCUCAAGGCAGAUAUUACCACCUUGCUUUUGCAAAGGCUCAUUGAGGUUAAAGGGCUGGUUGGAAGUUACUCAGCACGGGGUUGAUGCAGAGGCCCUGAAAUCCUCAGGCCCAUCAGACCUUCAGCUUGUCAGUACACAGAAAAAAGACCAAGAUUCAAGAGACCUGGAUUCUAGCCCUUGCUUUGCCAUCUCUCUGGGCUUCAGUUUCCUUGCCCAUAAUGGAAGGGCCAGACAGAUCCUCCCAUUCCACCAACCCGAGUUAAUAUUAGAGCUUGAUACUUACAAAAGGCACACAUUUUGCUAAUGUAUGCACCAUUUAUGGCCAGUUCCUCAGCCCCCUUCACUUUGCCUCAUGACCUGAGUUUGCCCUUUGGAAAUUAGGAUAUUAAAUAAAGGAGUCAUCUCUGUGUA